rnacentral:rRNA from 1 species
UUCCCGAAAGGAGAAGAGCUAACCUUAUAAAUGUUUUAGCUUUAAAUAUUAAUGUUAAAGAUAUUAUAAUAAGAUAUAGGGUUAGGGGCGAAAUACCUUCAAUUCUUCUGAUAUCUGGUUUCUAAUGAAAUGCAUUUAGUGCAGGAGGGAGUCUGAACUAAGAGGCGCCAAGGCCUCCUAGAGGAUUUAAACAUAGAGGUUUAUCUAUUCUUUGAAGCAAGAUUCCCCUGGUUAUUAACCUAUAAAUUCUUGUCUUAUAUUUAAAUAUAGAAAUUAGAAUCUCCUGUAAUAACCUUCGGAGUUUAUUUUGUUUAAAUUAGUAUUAAUGGAAAUCCUUUAAAAGGAACUCGGCAAACUUUCCUUUCGUCUGUUUAUCAAAAACAUUGCCUAUUGUUCUAAUAAUAGGUAUUAUCUGCCCAGUGUAUAUAUAUAAACGGCCGCAGUACCCUGACUGUGCUAAGGUAGCAUAAUAAAUUGGCCUUUAAUUGGGGUCUUGAAUGAAUGAGAGUACGAAGAGUGGCUGUCUUUUUGAGGAUAGAUAGAAGUUCCUACAUGAGGUGAAAAUUCCUCUUAGAAUAAUUAUUAGACAAGAAGACCCUUAGAGCUUUAAAUAUACAGGUUUUUCUUUCAAUUUAAAUCUGGCUUUUCUGUUGGGGCGACAAGGUAGCAUAUAUAAACCUACCUGAAUUAAGUUUUCUUGAUAGAUUUAUCGUGAAAGAUGAAGCUACCUAAGGGAUAACAGCGUAAUAGAUUAUUCUGUUUACGACCUCGAUGUUGGAUUAGGUAUUAAGGUUUUUAAAAGAUCCCUUAAUUAGUUCUGUUCGAACAUUUUAACCUACAUGAUCUGAGUUCAGACCGGC